rnacentral:miRNA from 1 species
UGGCAGACUUCGUUGAGGCUA